AGAGUUUGAUCAUGGCUCAGGAUGAACGCUAGCUACAGGCUUAACACAUGCAAGUCGAGGGGAAACGAUAUUGGAAGCUUGCUUUCCGAUAGGCGUCGACCGGCGUACGGGUGAGUAACGCGUAUCCAACCUGCCCACCACUUGGGGAUAACCUUGCGAAAGUAAGACUAAUACCCAAUGACGUCUCUAGAAGACAUCUGAAAGAGAUUAAAGAUUUAUCGGUGAUGGAUGGGGAUGCGUCUGAUUAGCUUGUUGGCGGGGUAACGGCCCACCAAGGCGACGAUCAGUAGGGGUUCUGAGAGGAACGGCCCCCACAUUGGAACUGAGACACGGUCCAAACUCCGUACGGGAGGCAGCA
rnacentral:rRNA from 1 species